rnacentral:rRNA from 1 species
UCCUACGGGAGGCAGCAGUGGGGAAUAUUGCACAAUGGGCGCAAGCCUGAUGCAGCAACGCCGCGUGAGGGAUGACGGCCUUCGGGUUGUAAACCUCUUUUAGCAGGGAAGAAGCGAAAGUGACGGUACCUGCAGAAAAAGCACCGGCUAACUACGUGCCAGCAGCCGCGGUAAUACGUAGGGUGCAAGCGUUAUCCGGAAUUAUUGGGCGUAAAGAGCUCGUAGGCGGUUUGUCGCGUCUGCUGUGAAAACUGGGGGCUCAACCCCCAGCCUGCAGUGGGUACGGGCAGACUAGAGUGCGGUAGGGGAGAUUGGAAUUCCCGGUGUAGCGGUGGAAUGCGCAGAUAUCAGGAGGAACACCGAUGGCGAAGGCAGAUCUCUGGGCCGUAACUGACGCUGAGGAGCGAAAGGGUGGGGAGCAAACAGGCUUAGAUACCCUGGUAGUCCACCCCGUAAACGUUGGGAACUAGUUGUGGGGUCCAUUCCACGGAUUCCGUGACGCAGCUAACGCAUUAAGUCCCCCGCCUGGGGAGUACGGCCGCAAGGCUAAAACUCAAAUGAAUUGACGGA